GGUUAAGUGACUAAGCGUACACGGUGGAUGCCUAGGCAGUCAGAGGCGAUGAAGGGCGUGCUAAUCUGCGAAAAGCGUCGGUAAGGUGAUAUGAACCGUUAUAACCGGCGAUACCCGAAUGGGGAAACCCAGUGUGUUUCGACACACUAUCAUGUCAUGAAUACAUAGUGGCAUGAGGCGAACCGGGGGAACUGAAACAUCUAAGUACCCCGAGGAAAAGAAAUCAACCGAGAUUCCCCCAGUAGCGGCGAGCGAACGGGGAGGAGCCCAGAACCUGAAUCGGCUUGUGUGUUAGUGGAAGCGUCUGGAAAGUCGCGCAGCAAAGGGUGAUAGCCCCGUACACUAAAAUGCACAGGUCGUGAGUUCGAUGAGUAGGGCGGGACACGUGACAUCCUGUCUGAAUAUGGGGGGACCAUCCUCCAAGGCUAAAUACUCCUGACUGACCGAUAGUGAACCAGUACCGUGAGGGAAAGGCGAAAAGAACCCCGGCGAGGGGAGUGAAAUAGAACCUGAAACCGUGUACGUACAAGCAGUGGGAGCACCUUCGUGGUGUGACUGCGUACCUUUUGUAUAAUGGGUCAGCGACUUAUAUUUUGUAGCAAGGUUAACCGUAUAGGGGAGCCGUAGGGAAACCGAGUCUUAACUGGGCGAUUAGUUGCAAGGUAUAGACCCGAAACCCGGUGAUCUAGCCAUGGGCAGGUUGAAGGUUGGGUAACACUAACUGGAGGACCGAACCGACUAAUGUUGAAAAAUUAGCGGAUGACUUGUGGCUGGGGGUGAAAGGCCAAUCAAACCGGGAGAUAGCUGGUUCUCCCCGAAAGCUAUUUAGGUAGCGCCUCGUGAACUCAUCUUCGGGGGUAGAGCACUGUUUCGGCUAGGGGGCCAUCCCGGCUUACCAAACCGAUGCAAACUCCGAAUACCGAAGAAUGUUAUCACGGGAGACACACGGCGGGUGCUAACGUCCGUCGUGAAGAGGGAAACAACCCAGACCGCCAGCUAAGGUCCCAAAGUCAUGGUUAAGUGGGAAACGAUGUGGGAAGGCAUAGACAGCCAGGAUGUUGGCUUAGAAGCAGCCAUCAUUUAAAGAAAGCGUAAUAGCUCACUGGUCGAGUCGGCCUGCGCGGAAGAUGUAACGGGGCUAAACCAUGCACCGAAGCUGCGGCAGCGACGCUUAGCGUUGUUGGGUAGGGGAGCGUUCUGUAAGCCGUUGAAGGUGGCCUGUGAGGGUUGCUGGAGGUAUCAGAAGUGCGAAUGCUGACAUAAGUAACGAUAAAGCGGGUGAAAAGCCCGCUCGCCGGAAGACCAAGGGUUCCUGUCCAACGUUAAUCGGGGCAGGGUGAGUCGACCCCUAAGGCGAGGCUGAAAAGCGUAGUCGAUGGGAAACAGGUUAAUAUUCCUGUACUUGGUGUUACUGCGAAGGGGGGACGGAGAAGGCUAGGCUAGCCGGGCGACGGUUGUCCCGGUUUAAGCGUGUAGGGGGUGUGACCUGGUAAAUCCGGUU
rnacentral:rRNA from 1 species